AGCGAACGCUGGCGGCAGGCUUAACACAUGCAAGUCGAGCGGGCAUCCUUGUGGUGUCAGCGGCAGACGGGUGAGUAACGCGUGGGAACGUGCCCUUCGGUUCGGAAUAACUCAGGGAAACUUGAGCUAAUACCGGAUACGUGCGAGAGCAGAAAGGUUGAUCUGCCGAAGGAUCGGCCCGCGUCUGAUUAGCUAGUUGGUGAGGUUACGGCUCACCAAGGCGACGAUCAGUAGCUGGUCUGAGAGGAUGAUCAGCCACACUGGGACUGAGACACGGCCCAGACUCCUACGGGAGGCAGCAGUGGGGAAUAUUGGACAAUGGGGGCAACCCUGAUCCAGCCAUGCCGCGUGAGUGAUGACGGCCUUAGGGUUGUAAAGCUCUUUUCUCCGGGACGAUAAUGACGGUACCGGAGGAAUAAGCCCCGGCUAACUUCGUG
rnacentral:rRNA from 1 species